rnacentral:RNase_P_RNA from 1 species
UGGUAACAAUUGUGGCAAGGUAAACUCCACCUGGAGCAAAGCCAAAUAAAGGUUCACAAAGUGCGGCUCGUACUGAACCCGGGUCGGCCGCUUGAGCUAGUGAGUGAUUGCUGGCCUAGAUGAAUGGUUGUCCACGACAGAACCCGGCUUAUCGGCUAGCUCUAAAC